UGACUGCGUACCUUUUGUAUAAUGGGUCAGCGACUUAUAUUCUGUAGCAAGGUUAACCGAAUAGGGGAGCCGGAGGGAAACCGAGUCUUAACCGGGCGUUAAGUUGCAGGGUAUAGACCCGAAACCCGGUGAUCUAGCCAUGGGCAGGUUGAAGGUUGGGUAACACUAACUGGAGGACCGAACCGACUAAUGUUGAAAAAUUAGCGGAUGACCUGUGGCUGGGGGUGAAAGGCCAAUCAAACCGGGAGAUAGCUGGUUCUCCCCGAAAGCUAUUUAGGUAGCGCCUCGUGAAUUCAUCUCCGGGGGUAGAGCACUGUUUCGGCUAGGGGGCCAUCCCGGCUUACCAACCCGAUGCAAACUGCGAAUACCGGAGAAUGUUAUCACGGGAGACACACGGCGGGUGCUAACGUCCGUCGUGAAGAGGGAAACAACCCAGACCGCCAGCUAAGGUCCCAAAGUCAUGGUUAAGUGGGAAACGAUGUGGGAAGGCCCAGACAGCCAGGAUGUUGGCUUAGAAGCAGCCAUCAUUUAAAGAAAGCGUAAUAGCUCACUGGUCGAGUCGGCCUGCGCGGAAGAUGUAACGGGGCUAAACCAUGCACCGAAGCUGCGGCAGCGACACUGUGUGUUGUUGGGUAGGGGAGCGUUCUGUAAGCCUGUGAAGGUGUGUCGUGAGGCAUGCUGGAGGUAUCAGAAGUGCGAAUGCUGACAUAAGUAACGAUAAAGCGGGUGAAAAGCCCGCUCGCCGGAAGACCAAGGGUUCCUGUCCAACGUUAAUCGGGGCAGGGUGAGUCGACCCCUAAGGCGAGGCCGAAAGGCGUAGUCGAUGGGAAACGGGUUAAUAUUCCCGUACUUGGUGUUACUGCGAAGGGGGGACGGAGAAGGCUAUGUUGGCCGGGCGACGGUUGUCCCGGUUUAAGCGUGUAGGUGUGUGUUCCAGGUAAAUCCGGUUCACUUUAACACUGAGGCGUGACGACGAGGCACUACGGUGCUGAAGCAACAAAUGCCCUGCUUCCAGGAAAAGCCUCUAAGCAUCAGGUAACAUCAAAUCGUACCCCAAACCGACACAGGUGGUCAGGUAGAGAAUACCAAGGCGCUUGAGAGAACUCGGGUGAAGGAACUAGGCAAAAUGGUGCCGUAACUUCGGGAGAAGGCACGCUGACACGUAGGUGAAGUGAUUUACUCAUGGAGCUGAAGUCAGUCGAAGAUACCAGCUGGCUGCAACUGUUUAUUAAAAACACAGCACUGUGCAAACACGAAAGUGGACGUAUACGGUGUGACGCCUGCCCGGUGCCGGAAGGUUAAUUGAUGGGGUCAGCGCAAGCGAAGCUCCUGAUCGAAGCCCCGGUAAACGGCGGCCGUAACUAUAACGGUCCUAAGGUAGCGAAAUUCCUUGUCGGGUAAGUUCCGACCUGCACGAAUGGCGUAAUGAUGGCCAGGCUGUCUCCACCCGAGACUCAGUGAAAUUGAACUCGCUGUGAAGAUGCAGUGUACCCGCGGCAAGACGGAAAGACCCCGUGAACCUUUACUAUAGCUUGACACUGAACAUUGAGCCUUGAUGUGUAGGAUAGGUGGGAGGCUUUGAAGUGUGGACGCCAGUCUGCAUGGAGCCGACCUUGAAAUACCACCCUUUAAUGUUUGAUGUUCUAACGUGGACCCGUUACCCGGGUUGCGGACAGUGUCUGGUGGGUAGUUUGACUGGGGCGGUCUCCUCCUAAAGAGUAACGGAGGAGCACGAAGGUUGGCUAAUCCUGGUCGGACAUCAGGAGGUUAGUGCAAUGGCAUAAGCCAGCUUGACUGCGAGCGUGACGGCGCGAGCAGGUGCGAAAGCAGGUCAUAGUGAUCCGGUGGUUCUGAAUGGAAGGGCCAUCGCUCAACGGAUAAAAGGUACUCCGGGGAUAACAGGCUGAUACCGCCCAAGAGUUCAUAUCGACGGCGGUGUUUGGCACCUCGAUGUCGGCUCAUCACAUCCUGGGGCUGAAGUAGGUCCCAAGGGUAUGGCUGUUCGCCAUUUAAAGUGGUACGCGAGCUGGGUUUAGAACGUCGUGAGACAGUUCGGUCCCUAUCUGCCGUGGGCGCUGGAGAACUGAGGGGGGCUGCUCCUAGUACGAGAGGACCGGAGUGGACGCAUCACUGGUGUUCGGGUUGUCAUGCCAAUGGCACUGCCCGGUAGCUAAAUGCGGAAGAGAUAAGUGCUGAAAGCAUCUAAGCACGAAACUUGCCCCGAGAUGAGUUCUCCCUGAGACUUAGGUCUCCUGAAGGAACGUUGAAGACGACGACGUUGAUAGGCCGGGUGUGUAAGCGCAGCGAUGCGUUGAGCUAACCGGUACUAAUGAACCGUGAGGCUUAACCUU
rnacentral:rRNA from 1 species